rnacentral:rRNA from 1 species
GAUGAACGCUAGCUACAGGCUUAACACAUGCAAGUCGAGGGGAAACGGCAUUUAGUGCUUGCACUGAAUGGACGUCGACCGGCGCACGGGUGAGUAACGCGUAUCCAACCUACCCAUUACUGUGGGAUAACCUGCCGAAAGGCAGACUAAUACCGCAUAGUCUUCGAUGACGGCAUCAGAUUUGAAGUAAAGAUUUAUCGGUAAUGGAUGGGGAUGCGUCUGAUUAGCUUGUUGGCGGGGUAACGGCCCACCAAGGCGACGAUCAGCAGGGGUUCUGAGAGGAAGGUCCCCCACAUUGGAACUGAGACACGGUCCAAACUCCUACGGGAGGCAGCAGUGAGGAAUAUUGGUCAAUGGGCGCGAGCCUGAACCAGCCAAGUAGCGUGCAGGAUGACGGCCCUAUGGGUUGUAAACUGCUUUUGUAUGGGGAUAAAGUCAAUCACGUGUGAUUGUUUGCAGGUACCAUACGAAUAAGGACCGGCUAAUUCCGUGCCAGCAGCCGCGGUAAUACGGAAGGUCCGGGCGUUAUCCGGAUUUAUUGGGUUUAAAGGGAGCGUAGGCCGGAGAUUAAGUGUGUUGUGAAAUGUAGACGCUCAACGUCUGACUUGCAGCGCAUACUGGUUUCCUUGAGUACGCACAACGUUGGCGGAAUUCGUCGUGUAGCGGUGAAAUGCUUAGAUAUGACGAAGAACUCCGAUUGCGAAGGCAGCUGACGGGAGCGCAACUGACGCUUAAGCUCGAAGGUGCGGGUAUCGAACAGG